UGCUUUGAUUACCUCCACAGGUGGUGGCUGAAGGGGCGUGCCCCACACCUGCAGCUCGUCAGAGGCAGCUUCCUCUGGUUUCUUAAGUGGAGCACGGACGGACGGAAGAUGCCAGAGCCUUAACCAGUCAUGUUUUUAUGUGCAUGGAUGCACUCACCCGUCUUGAAGCCCUGAAGAUAUUUUUGAACAUGUGGAAUCAUCAGCUCAGAUUUUGCUCUGGUGCUCCCCCUUGUACUCCCUUGGCGUUACCAAGAUGGGCUCGAGGUUUCCCCCUCCCGGAUUCCACAGACUUCUCCAGGAUUCCUGAACUCUGGUUAAUCCGUCUGUUGCUCCCGUCAGUUGAGGUUUGCUUCGGAUUCCUCGCCAGCUCCAUCUGCCGCCCUCCAGAAACCACCCCACCAUCUAGAGUAGGCACACAAGGUUCCCGAGGCGCUACUCUUCCCCAGUUAGGUCUCUCCUGCUACAUGUCAACCCCGCUUUGACGUUCAGGCCUCGUCCAGGCGAUUAUAUUCUUGCUUCAUUUACUGCCUGUUUAUUCCCCGACUGAGCUUAAUAAAGAACAGUGUUAAUAUUGUGUUUGUUUGUUGGUUCUUCUUGAGGAUUUAGGACAGUUUUAAUUACAAAAAACAAAAUGAUUCAUAAUGACUCAGACUGCUCAACUGUAUUAAUCUGAACUUCAGUCCUUAGCUAGAACUAGACAACAGUAGUGGCACUUUUUUCCCUCCAGUGUGUGGCCUAGACUCCCGGACACACACAACUGGCAAUCAACACGCACA